rnacentral:rRNA from 1 species
GACGAACCGUGCAAACGUUAUUCGGAAUCACUGGGCUUAAAGGGCGCGUAGGCGGGCUGUCAAGUCAGAGGUGAAAUCCCACAGCUUAACUGUGGAAGUGCCCCUGAUACUGACGGCCUCGAGGGAGGUAGGGGCGUGUGGAACUUCCGGUGGAGCGGUGAAAUGCGUAGAUAUCGGAAGGAACGCCGGUGGCGAAAGCGACACGCUGGCCCUCUUCUGACGCUGAGGCGCGAAAGCCAGGGGAGCAAACGGGG